UUUAUGUUGUGAUUCGACUGCUGCUGUAUUUUAGAUUUAUAGGAACAGACCAAACAUGUUGAUUCUAUCACCAAAAUUAUAAAGUAUACUUCCAUUACAAUUAAUUUGUUGAUUCUAAUUUGGACUUGUAGGAACAGACCAAACAUGUUCAUACGUGGCAUUGCUCAAGUCAUCAUCAUUCGGGACAGAGAAUAAGCCUUCAAAUGUCUGCUGAGUCAAUGAACCUUUCUAGAUAUCUCAAGUGUAAUGGAAAUUGAUGAGUUACAAAGGAUUUGUAAACAUUUUCUACUGGAGGCUAGAAAUGCUUCAAAUAAAUGACUCUGUUGCAAUUAUUUUGUAGGAUCAAAGACUCUGCAAAGAGGUAAGAAAGUCAUCAUCAAGUAACUUCGCUCUUCAUACUUUUUAUUAGGGGUGGGCAUUGGAACCGCAAAACCGCAAAACCGAACCAACCCAAUCCGAAAAAAACCGAAAAAAACCGUGUUGACCGAAAAAGUCAAAAACCGAGACAAAUCCAAACCGAACCGGUUCAGACCGGUUCCGGUUCCGAUUUUCCACCUUAAGGAACCGGUCCAAUCCGAACCGGUCCAAUAUAAUUAAUUUUUAUAUUAUAUUUAUAUUUAUAUUUAAAAUAUCAAAUUUUGUAGGCCCAAACCCAACUAUUUCAUUAUACCAACAAAAAGCCCAAAUCUCCCAAGUCCAUUGCCCAAGUCCAACAAGCCAUAUUUUAAUAUCCUAAUCACAUCAAAUCUCACUUCACUCUCUCUCUCUGACGCACUCUCUCUUUUCCUCUCAGAUUUUUUUUACUCUCUUUUUCUUUCUUUCUUCUCUCUUCCGCCUCUUUUCCUCUAGGUUCUUUAACUUCUUUUUACUUCUUUCUUUCUUCACUCUUCUGCCUCUUUUCCUCAGUUUUUUCUUCUUCUUUCUCUCUUAUUCUUUCUCCUCUCAAUUCGUCUCCAUUUUUUUUCCCUCUCUUUCUCUGAUUUUCUGUUACUCUGAUUUUUUUCUUCUUGGUUUUAUGUUUCUCUCUCUCCCUCUAUAUCUCUUUCUUUGCAACUCUGUUUUUCAAUUUCUCCUUUUUUUUCUCUCUUCAUUUUUUGUUUCUCUGUACAUAUAUGUGUUCAUCUUGUAGAUCUGGGUGAAAUUCUUGUAGAUCUAGGUGAAGUUCUUGGAGAUCUGCGUUAAGUUCUUGUAGAUCUAGGUAAAGAGCCAAUUCAAAGCAGGUCAGCGUCUCUUAUCUCCCCAAUCCCUUGUGAAGAUAUGUAUUUUUUUUGUUGUCAACAAUCCAUUUUGGUGUUUUUAUAUGGUAUUGAUAUUUUCUAUGAUUUUGGGCUGAUUUGAGGUCUGAUUCUUUUUUUUUCUUUCAAUUUUUUCCUGUUGUGUUUUGAUAGACAUGUUCUCUAUUCCUGAUAUCAUUCCUCAGUGGCAAAAUCUUUGAGCGUUGUUGUAAAUUUUAGACGGGAAAGAAGCUCAUUCAUAAUUCAAAAAAAGAAAAUAAAGUUACAACAACUGACAAUUUGUUGCUCUUUGAAAUAGGUACUGAAGUAGCAUGGAUAAAAAGAAAGACUGAAGAUGUUGCAGAAGAUUGAAUAUGUUCUAUUUCUGUAAUUUGUUUGUAAUUAAAUUUGUUUAUUUUGUUUUGUUUUUAGGUUGUAAGUUUUAUUUUAAUGUUUGAUAUUUGUUGUUUUGUCAAAAAAUUGUAUUAAUGCUUGAUGGAUUCAUUCAAUUUGCAGUGCGUGGAUGUGAAUUGGGCCAAUCGGUAAUAAUUAGGCCCAAAAGGUUUUAAAUAUCAAUUGGGCUGAAACUUACAAAAAAAUUUAAGAACAAAAAAAAAAUCAAUUAAGCUGUGUGUCGGCCCAAACCGUAAAAACCGGAACCGAACCGGAUUCAAAUGGGUUCGGGUUGGUCCGGUUUUCUCAAGCAUUUUAGUAAAAAUCCGAACCGGACCGGACCGGUGAACAGUACCGGUUCCGGUUUUAAAUUGAUGCAAAAACCGGUCCAAACCGGACCGUGCCCACCCCUAUUUUUUAUUUUUAUUUUUAAAUAUCAGUAAUAACUGGGAAAGCUUGCAUCUCCUUAAAUUGCUCAUUCUUACAUCUUUUAUAGUUUGUUGAUCUUGGGCAAGUGGAGAGAGAGGCGUCAAGUGAUACGCAACAACCAUUUUCUGUGAGCUGAUUUGAUAAAGAGAAAUGGUAUGCUUUCUUGUCUUAAGCGGUGUGUUCUGCAAUUAUUUGAAACAAAGGAUGCCGCACUUCAAGUUCGAGAAAAUCAGGUAUUUUAGUAUUUUAUUCUUGAGAAAUUUGAUUUAUGUAGAAACUUGAACAUGUAAAUGAGAGAAAAAAAAAUAAAUAUAUAUAUAUAUUAUAUAUUGUAUAUGCUGUUAAUGAGUUAAUAUGGUGCUUGCUCCUAGUUGGAAAUUUAUGUAGUCAUCUACCUAUGAUCAAAUAAAGAUGAAAAAUAAAAUAAAAUUGAGAGCAUCUUCCUCUCCCCUGCUUUGCUCAUCCCUUGUUCUUCCACUUCAGCCCCACUAUUACACCAUUUUUUUCAGCCACAAUUAUAAUAGCUCCAUGAGCAUUAAGUCCCUUUCAAAUUCUGCUGACAUUCAAAAUUGGAAUCUGCUGGUGAUAUAUGAUAGCGUUAACAUAUUGUACCAUUUUGGCCAGUGUACGCAAUAUUAUUGCAUCCAACUUUGCAUAUUAACAUCAGUGGCCACAGUUACACGAUUUGAGUGCACAGAAAGGUUUCAAAAGUUGUCCCACAGAGAACAGUCGUUCAAAGUGAGAGAGUUUUGAAAGCUUAAUUACAAGUUCAUGUUGUUUACAACCUCAAAAAGCUUUCAUACUUGCUUACAAACCUGUAUUUCCAAGUUCUGCAAACCUUGGAAUAUCACUUCAUCCAAAUCCCCUUCCAAAGCAGGAAAAAAUGGCAGCAGCUUUGAUUGGAGAGGCUCUCAUCUCUGCUUCUAUCGAGGUGUUGUGUGACAGAGUUACUUCAGCCGAGUUCAUAGACUUAUUUCAGCAGAAGAAACUUGAUGAAACACUCCUCAUGAACCUGAAGACGACACUGUUGAUUUUGUUUGCGGCGCUCAAUGAUGCAGAGGAGAAGCAAAUUGUGAACCCUGCUGUGAUAGAGUGGCUUAACAGCUCAAGCAUGCUGUCUUUGAUGCAGAGGACUUACUUGAUGAGAUUGACACUGAAGCUUUGCGAUGCAAGCUGGAAGGUGAGGAUCAAACCCACAAUAAUUAACCAACAAGGAUCUUUUUGAUUGUUUGAAAGGAGGGUCUUUGAUGAUUUGAAAGGAGAGGGUUGCUUCAUUUCUGUUGGAUGCUUAAUUAAAUCUUAUCUGGACUUGAACAAGGAUUAGGUUAGCUGUAUAAUUCGUGGUAAACACCUUUUUCUAAGGUUCAUUUAGACUCCUAUUACGAUUAAUUUGUUGUUUCUAAUUUGGACUUGUAGGAACAGACCAAAUAUGUUCACACGUGGCAUCGUUCAAGUCAUCAUCAUUUCAGACAAAAUCAGCCUUCAAGUGUCUGCUGACUCAAUGAACCUUUCUAGAUAUAUCAAGUGCAAUGGAAAUUCAAGAGUUACAUAGAGAUUUGUAAACAUUUUGAAGAUUGCAACACCUGCAAGUGAGAUAGGUGGUGACGAAAUCAGAGCUGAUCUUGAAGCCUCUGAUGCCCCUGUCGUUGCAAGUUGCACCUGAGAACAUGGUUUUUUUUUGGGUAAAAAACCAGCAACAUGUUCGGGGCUGGCAAUUCAAUCCCUGAUGAACUUGAGAAGCAAAGCUCCAGUAAGGAAAUUGGUCGAGGUCACGACAGGGAUAAUUGAUGGUGAAAUGGAUGCUAUUUCUUAUUGCAGCCUGUUCUCAAAGUUCUUGUUGGCAAAAGCAAGAGAUGGAGUAUUUUGAUUGGGAGGAGAGAUAAUGACAUGUGUUGACAAUUCUAGAACAGCCCAUCUGAGUUCUUUUGUCAGGCUGCAUCAUUUAAUCCCAGCAAAAAUCCAGUUUUUGCUAAACAAUCAAAUUGUACACAUUUUUUCUUUUCGAGGAAUUUAACAUUACACAUUUUUUCAUUUUUUCAUCAAACAGUUUUCUAAUGCAUUUGUUGUCCCAAGUUACAAUGAGGAAUUUGGAUUGAGUUUCUUGUGUUAAUAACAUUAUACUUUCAUGGAAUGGUUUAUCUUCUUUUUCUGGACAAAAAUAUUUAGAUUAAUUUCUUGGAAUAAUUUUUUAAUAAUUUUUUAAUUGCAGUAGCGAAAAAAGGAAAAUUGUAUUUUUCAAAACCAAUCUUAAGUCCAGUUUCCUCUUCUUGGUCGUCACACUUGGAAAUUGCUAACCAUAUAUAACUUGGGGUAACAAUCUUAGUCCGAAUGUGUACGAUCUUAGUCCGAUCAAUGGCUACGCGUAUUGGCUCGGCCUUGGGGUCUACCAUUCCAGUGUACAAGCUUCCUGGGUCUUGGGGCAAUUCCUUCAAAUUGUACACAUGUUUUCUUUGAGAAGCAAGGCUCUAGUAAGGAAAUUGGUUAUGUAACAAAUUUUGGUCCCUUUGGAUGGAAUGAUUUACAAUGAGGAAUUUUAUUAUUAUUAUUUUGUUUUUGUUGUUAGUGUAAUGAAAAUGAUCUAGGUUCAUACACUGGGUAUAGCUCUAAUUUGGCCAAUUUCAUUAUUUUAGUUUCUUCAUAUUUUCAAUUAUUAUAAUUUGGUGCGUUGUUUUUUAAAAACAUUCAUGAGAAUCUCCAUUUUUUAGGUGUUUAAGUUAUUCAUCCACAACGGUUUUAUAAUACCGUCAUCUUUUCAAACACAACGAUGAUUUUUUAAUCUAUCGUCGUUGUUUUCUGAUCGUCUUUUUCACUUUUUGUAGUAGUGUCAAUAAGUAAGAUGAAAUAAUACAUUCACAAUCUGUUUAAAUUUUAAAUUAAAAAAAACACAAGAAAAUUUUAAAUAAGUAAGUAAUUUUAAAUAUAUAUUUCCAUUGUUUUGGUUUUCUUUUCAUAUUAGUUUUCUACUAGCUGCUAAUUUCAUUUAAAUUGUUUUUCUUACUUCAUUUAACUUUUAAGCAUGCAGAUGCAAUCAUGACUUCUUCUUUUUUUCAAUAGACUGAUUCUCUUCCCACAUAUAUAAUGCUCUCUAAGUAUUCGUAAUAUGAGUAGGAAUUUAUUUUCAUUUCACAAGAAUUGUCCAUCAAAUUCUGAUAGGUUUGUCGAUAGCACAAGCAUGCACAUAUAGACACUACAAGAACUUUGUUUCUUCAUUUUGUUUCCUAAAGAUUUGUUGGCUUCGUGCAGAUGAAUAACAAGUCUCUCUGUCCUCUAUUUCUUCUUUUUCUUUUUUAACAAUUCAUAUUCUACUUUCUGUUUUCACCCAGUAAAAAUUGAUUUUAGACAUGGGCUUCUAAAUUAUGUGCGGAUAAUGGUUGCAUUUAUAGAAUAUCCAUGGGCUUCUAGUCACCGUGGUUGUUGAUUCAGCAUGUCAUAUUACUCUUGGACUAGCUGUUGACACUACUACAUUUUACACUUUGCGCGACGAAGAACAAAACGUCGCGCAAAGUCGCAUUUAGUCGCCCCAAUUUCAGCGCGACAAAAACGUCGUCGCGCAUAUUCCGUCGCGCGAAGAUCGUGAAGAAAGCCUUUGCACGACGAGGUACAACCCUUCGUCGCGCAAAAGUGUGCGACGGGUAAACCAUCGUUGCACCAACGGUGUGGAGACGAAACAACCCUUCGUCGCAAAAAUAUUUGCGCGACGAUAAAUUAUGCGGCGCACGUAUAUUUGCGAGACGACGGGAAUUGCGCGACAAAACAUUAUUCGUCGCGCAAAAUAUGUAUGGGAGACGUAUAUGUUCGUCGCAGAACAAUUCGCGCGAUGAGAAAGUUUUCGUCGCACAUAUAAUUGCGCGACGAAAAAUUAUGUCGUCGGCCAAAUAUUUUGCGCGACGAAACAUUUCGUCGCGCAAAACGUGUUAUGUGUUCGUCGCGCAUGAAUUAAAAGUGAUAAAAAAAUAUUUGAUUUUUUUUUGUUACAUGUUGGUUUGCGCGACGAAAGAUUUUCCGUCGCGCAAAAAUAAUAUUACAAUUUUUUUUUUAUUUAUAUUUUUUAUUUGAUAUAAAAUUGGUUUCUUUUUAUUGAUUAAACAAUGAAAUUGCAAUAAAAAUAAAUUAGAAUAAAAUUUUGUUAUAAAAUAAAAUAAAAUAAAUGUAUUACAAAUAAAAUAAAUACACUAAUCAAAUAAUGAAUCAAAAUCAACCGAGUCGUCGCCAGUAUGCGGCUCGGAGGGCGGGGCGUUCACCGGGGCAGUGGUCUGGUGGGGAUGCCCGGGAUGGACGGGCUCAGAGGUCGGCGCAUCAAAAUGCGGGACUGGAAUGCCGGACUGUGCGAGGGACUGCAGAAUGACCGACAUCUGGCUCUGAAGAGUGGCCACCUGUGCUGUCAAAGCAGUGACCUGACUGUUUGACUGCGCCGAUGAACGAGGUCGAGGUUCCCUCCGCCGGGCAUUCCCCAUCCCUCGACAAUAUGUCCCCGGCCUCCUCCCGAGAGUCUGAUCCAACGUCUCCGUCAAUAUCUGAAAUCCAGCAUCCUGUGGAGGAGCCACAGACUCGAUCGGAGUCUCGGGAGGAAGCUGGGAGGCGGACUCCUGAAGAACAAGCUGGCUCCUCUCCACCAUCGUCGUCUGUUGAACAUAACAUAAAAUAUAAAUUAAAACAUGCAUAUAAAUUGAAUGCGUAACAUAAGAAUUAAAAUUAAAUAAUACUUACAUGAAGGGACUCGGCCAACUCAUUCCCGGGUCGAACAUAAACGUCACCAAAGACGUCGAUCUCUGGGAACUUGGACCCCUCCUAAAUUGAACAAGAGAAGAAAAAUAUUAGUAUGAAAAAAAUAAAUUAAUAAAAAUGACAUUAAAAAUGAAAUAAAAAUUUUGUGAUUAUUACCCGACGCCGUGCAUCCAUCCUAUAAGAAAAGGGUCUGGAGCCGGAAUGGUGGAGAAGGGUCUUCUUCUUCCUAUUACCCUUAUUCACUUGGGCUUUAUUCUGUUAUACAAAAAAUGAAACGUAUUAGUUAAAAUAUAAAAAAUUAAAUAAUAAUGAAAUAAAAAAAUAAAAUAAACAUUAAUAAGUAAUAAGUAAUAAUUAAACAAAUAUAAUUAAAAAAAUACCGCAAAUUCGGGCGCUUGAAAAUGAGCGCAGAGCCACUCCCAACUAUCCUCCCGCCCCUCAAGCUCCUUCGGGCAACCCUCCUGAAGAGCGACUUGCGGAUCAUCAUAGGCCUGAAAAUGGUGGUGCAAGUCGCUCUUCCACUGCUUGUACCUCUCAGCGAAGAGUCGGUUGACGUACGUCAACGACUCUUCGUCGAGAUCCUCCAAGUUAUAGUUCGUCUGCAAUCAAUUAAUUAGAUACGUUAAGUAAUAGAAAUAUACACAAUUUUAAAGAAAAAUAAUGAAAAUGUAAGGUACAUACCGACAACUGGCCGUGAAUCUCCGCCUGGAUCUCGUCAGGCAUGACCCUCCAAGACUUCCAUUGCAUCGGGCAAUGGGUCCGCACGACGUGGCCAAUGUCGUGGGCCAAGGAGCUAUGCAACUUCGCCGUCGGUGCAGCACGAUGGCGCUCGUCGUAUCCGAUGCUGAUACGACUGUUGGUCACCCGGGUGACCUUCGCCGUCUUCAGCUGACGACACGGUCCUCGGGUGUUCCUCUUCGCUGCAAAGAAAUAAGGUAUUAAUGUUAAAUAAAAAAACAUUGUCAAAUUUCAAUAUAAAAUUAACAAUACAAAAGUGUAGUUAUACCUGGCUGUGAUCCCGAGGCACCAGUACCGUCGGUCGAUGUCGUGUCGAUGGUGUCGGUGGGCCGGUGCCGCCGCCUAGCACUAGCUGGUUGCGCCACGGAUGACGCAGAUGACACAGGCGCCUGGGGCGCCCCGGGACCAACCACCACGUGGUCCAACAAAGCAGGAGCAGUGGCAGCAGAUGCCGACUGAGCCAGGGGAUCCGAACUCGGUGCAGUCGUCAUCGACCUACCACGUCUAAUCAAGUCUGACAUCUGCACAUAUAAUUUCAUUCAGAAUGUAAACUAAUUAAUUAAAAGCAUAGCCUGACCUAGGGUUUGGAAUUUCGGAGUAUCCGGGACUCCGAUCAACGAUCGGUCGAAUCCUAAACGAUCCUAGAAACACAAAGGUACAACUACGCGAGUUUCAGUUCGAUCCAACGGUCCGAACAUAUCAAACCUGGAAAUCGCACAAUAGGCGAAAUUCGAUCAAGACUCAAACGGUAACCAAAUUCAAAUCCGAGCAAACCUACGCGCUCGUGACAAACAGGGGAUCGCUCUGGGACACAAUGCCCCACUGCCACAGCAUCCCACGCGCCGGCAGCGCGUGGGUGUCCAAAGCGAUAACAUUCGCCGGAAAAUUCUAAAAACUAACGGCCAAGGUUCCUACCCUAGGUUGAAAACAAUAUUUGGCGCCACUUUUGUUCUCGGACCUACCCCGAAAAAUGGCCGGAAGUGGCCGGAUUUGAAAUUGCCAAACCGGCCAAAACCUAGGGUUUUAAUUCCUAUUUCCUAUACCCAUCAGCUAGAGCACAAAAAAUAGUCGAGAAAUCAUACCUCAGGCGUCGGAAAUGGUGGCCGGAGGAGAGAGAAAACGGCCGGCGAGGAAUCGGUGAAAAACCGACGAUGUGCGACGGCAGGCUCGACGGCGAAGGCAGGGGAGGCUAUGGCAGGAGCGGCGGUGGCUGAGGUGACGGCGGAGAGAGAGGGCUGAGGUGACGGCGGAGAGAGAGGCAAACGGAGGAAAAAACCAGAAAUGGGGAAGAAGGAGGCAUCGCGACGUUUCUGCAAAUUUUUACGACUUUGCGCGACGAAUCACAUCAUUCGUCGCGCAAAAUGCUAUUAAUGAAUCUUGCGCGACGCUAUAUCCGUCGCGCAAGAUCUGUCAGAACGCCAAAUUCUGAAAGUGGAUUAGGGUCUGUAAGUUUUGCGCGACGAAAUAGACAUACUUCGUCGCGCAAAAGGCUGUCUUUCCGCCAAAAUUUUGGGAUUUAGGGUUUAGCGGGAGGCUGAAACUGAAGGGUUUGCGCUUUUGCGCGACGAAGACGGUAAACGUCGCGCAAUGGUAACCUUGCGCGACGGAACGUAUUAUAUUCGUCGCGCAAAAGGCUAUCUUUCCGCCCAAAUUUUGGGAUUCAGGGUUUAGCGGGAGGCUGAAGGGUUUGCGCUUUUGCGCGACGAAGACACUAAACGUCGCACAAAAGGCUGUCUGCUGAAAUGAAUGGUUUCUGCUUUUGCGCGACGAAGACAAUAAACGUCGCGCAAAACGUUGUCGUUCCGCCAACAAUUUGGGGUUUAGGGUUUAGUGUGAAAACUGGCGCCCAGAUUGCGCGACGAAGAGUACAUAUUUCCUUCGCGCAAUCUAUUUCACUUUCACUUUGCGCGACGGAUAUGUUGGUUCGUCGCGCAAUCUUCAAGAUUUUCAUUGAAAUUUUCACUAAGUGUUCAAAGGGGAUGGAGGUGUGAAAACUGGCGCCCAGAUUGCGCGACGAAGAGUACAUAUUUCCGUCGCACAAUCUAAUUCACUUUCACUUUGCGCGACGGUUAAAUUGUUCGUCGCGCAAAAUGUAGACCCUAAACCCCCUUGUAAACCCUAAACCCUGAACCCUAAGCCAUAAACCCUAAACCCUAAAAUAGUUUCAAUGAUCCAACCGGCAAACUUAUUGUUUGAAACUUGGAGAUCAUAUACGCCAAAAAUCAAGAAGACCAAACAUUCAGAUAUCAGGGAACGGGACUAAAUAUUUCGACGGUUAUAAAUGAAAAGUCAUGAUUUAACGGUUAUUGUAACUCCGAUUUUGAUCAAUUUUGACAGCAGCAUUUGUUGACCCUAUAUGAAUACAAUGACUGAAUUUGAUCUUCAAUUUCAGAUUUUUACACUAGGGGAUACCACAUAAACGUGAAGUUACAUUUGCACAAAUGUAUAAACAAAUUUUAGGGUUUUUGGUGAAUAUAUGAUUUUGAUAGCACAUGCAGUCUACGAAACAAGUUUCAGUCAUCCAGCCGUCAAACUUGUUUUUUUAGACUUCGAGAUCAUAGACAGCAAAAAUCGGACAAAAAAAACAUUCAGAGAUUAAGCAACGGGGUAAAACUUUUCGACGGUUCUAAAUAAAAAGUGAUGAUUGAACGGUUAAUUUAACUCCGAUGUUGAUGAUUUUUUGCAGCUACAGUCCUACACUCCAUAUGAAUACAAUGAACUACUUCGAUCGCCAAUUUUAAAUAUAUAUGUGUGUAUAUAUUAUACUAUAACGUUACCUAAUAUAUAUUUGCGCGACGAAAGUUUGCUUAUCGUCGCGCAAAAAUGCCAUACGCGACGCAUGUAUAUAUGCGUCGCGGAAACUAUGCGCGACCAGUUGUAUUCGUUGCGCAAACAUUACGCGACGCUUAUGUAUGCGUCGCGUAUGGUAUGUUUGCGCGACGAUAUGGAGCCCUUCGUCGCGCAUGGAUUUGGCGCCAUAAAUCCUCAUUGAUUUCAAAUUGUGUAUGCUUUGUAUUUUUUAGAAAGGUUUUGUAUUCAUCAUUUUUUAUGCUUUGUAUUUUGUGGAAAGGCUUUGAAAUAUUCAUUUCUUUUGUUAUUUUUAUUGAAGCUUUAACUUGUUCUGUUCCGCAGAAAAUUCCAAUGAAGUUUGUGAUGAAAUAUGGAGAAUGAAUACACAACUACAUAUGGACAACUACACAUAUUCAAAGAUUUGUAUUACACAAAAUUAAUACACUAACAUAAUAAAUUUACAAAUAAAUUCAUUAUUCAUCAUCUGAACUAUAAUAACUUUCGUUAUCGUCGCUAGCUUUAACUUGUUCUGUUCCGCAGAAAAUUCCAAUGAAGUUUGUGAUGAAAUCUGGAGAAUGAAUACACAACUACAUAUAGACAACUACACAUAUUCAAAGAUUUGUAUUACACAAAAUUAAUACACUACAUAAUAAAUUACAAAUAAAUUCAUUAUUCAUCAUCUGAACUAUAAUAACUUUCGUAUCGUCGCUAUCAUCACUCUCGGUCUCCCAAUCUUCUUCCUCCUCCUCCUCUAUAACUGCAUCAUCGGCGUUGCUAGGGCCCACUGCAACAUCGUAUCGGGGAAGAUCACCGAGGUCAAUUGUAAUUGACUGAAUCGGUAUUUCGACUGAAGACACUCCUUCUAUUUGAAACGGUUCUUGUAUAACAUUUGUAUCUCGAAGUGUUUCCGCAUCAUUUUCCAUUGAAGAUUCUAAACGAUGGUCAGCCACAUUGUCGACGUCGUUGUCACUUGGGUCUAGUUCUGGUAUAUUAUACACGUUCCUAUGAUCCAUCUUCUGCACAACUUUCCACCCGUUCCCGGCUUUAGGGUCAUCUAGAUACACAAUUUGGGACGCCAUGUUUGCCAAAAUGUACGGGUCGUCAUCAUACCAAGUUCUGUUAAUAUUCACAGACAGUACUCCAUGGUCGAUUUUAACACUUCCCGCCCUAUUUGGGUUGGUAUCGAACCAUCGACACUUAAACAUGAUGACUUGGUAUCGAUCUUUGUAAAGCAAUUGCACGACAGUUGUCAGUUUGCCAUAGAAAUCAAUGUCUGUACUUUCGCCUCCACCUGGGACAUGAACACCGCUAUUUUGCGUACACAACUUGUCAUCUCGUGCGGCCCCUAAAAAUUUGACGCCGUUAACAUUACAACCCGAGAACAAUUCAGCGCGAAUUGGGCCGAACGCCAAGUUAUAUAACUCAUCACUGUAAGUGGGGGAAUUCGAUGAUUUCAAUUUAUUCACCUAAUAGUAUACAAAACCAUUUACAUGUUAGUCUGACAAAAUUAAAUACUAAAAUUUAUAUUUGUCAAUUACAAAACACUUAUAACUUACAGAAUCCAAAAACCAUUGUGGAAAUAAUUCACGGUGUUUCCGGGCAACCAAAUGUGAUGGAUGUUCUCGCUUCAUCAUCUGUUCAUGCUCAUCUAAGUAGGCCAUUAUCUCAUCACAAUUGUUCAGUACGAACCAAUGCGCUACCUCCAUGUCAUUUCUAGAAAACGACUCUCCUCGUCCAGGAUCUCCAAAUGGUCGUGCGCUUUGGGCAAAAACAGAAAGUUUUUCAUUUCUCAUACCUCCGUCAUUAUUGCGGUGAGGACGAUUGAAAACCGUCUCCACAUCUUUUAAAUACAUUCCACAGAAAGUAAGCGACUCAUAUUGAACCCAAGCCUCUAUAAUUGAUCCUUCGGGCUUUGCCCUGUUGCGUACACUUUUUUUCAGCUCUCCGAGAAGCCUGCCAAAAUAAAACGAUAUGAUACAAAUUAGCAAAGUGUCGAUAAUGAUGCAUACACAAAUGAUAAAGAUUAUAUACCUUUCUAUUGGAUACAUCCAGCGAUAGUUGACAGGACCAGCAAGCAAUGCCUCUUCUGGCAAGUGAACCAUCACGUGCAUCAUACUUAUAAAGAAAGCUGGAGGAAAUAUCAUCUCAAACUUGCAUAGGACUUGGACAAUGUCAUGGCGCAACUGAAACAUGUCUGUCCUUCGCAAUGUUUUUGCCGUCAGUUGGGAAAAAAAUCUGGAUAACAACAUGAUUGGCUUCACCACAUCUUCCGGCAGUAAGUGUCGAAUACCCACAGGAAGUAGGCGUUGCAUGAACACAUGGCAGUCAUGGCUCUUAAGUCCAGUAAAUUUACCCCCAUCGACAUUCACGCAACGUGCGAUAUUAGAAGCAUACCCAUCGGGAAAUUUGACAGACGAUACAAACUUUAGAAACUCCUUUUUGUCAUUCGGUUUCAUAGAAAAGAAUGCAAGAUCCCUUCUAGCUUUAUCACUGUCCCUAUUCAUCCAUAAACCCCUUCGUAUGCCCAUUCUUUCCAAAUCAAGACGAGCUUUGAUCGUGUCCUUCGUCUUCCCCUCGAUAUCUAGAAUCGUGCCCACCAAUGUGUCGAAAACAUUUUUCUCAACAUGCAUCACAUCUAGAUUGUGCCUCAAUUUCAGUUUCGACCAAUAUGGGCGCUCAAAAAACAUAGACUUGUGCGUCCAGUUCAAAUGUGUAGAAGGUCGGGUCCGACUAACUGUUUUCCCGAACGGAGCAAAAUCCAAACGGUUCAGCUGUUCCAAGAUCUCAUCACCGGACCAUUCUCUAGGUCUGAGGCGACGCUCUGUGUUCCCGUCGAACUCUUUAUCUUUUUCUCGCCACUCGUGGUCCCAUGGCAACCAUCUCCGAUGACCAAGGUAACAAACUUUUCCCGCGUGCCAACCAGAAGUUACAUCUUCCUUGCAUACAGGACAUGCCAUAUAACCCUUUGUGCUCCACCCAGAAACCAUUGCAUAUGCUGGAAAAUCAUUCACAGUCCACAUAACUGCUGCUCGCAAAGUGAACAUCCUCCCAGUUGAUUUAUCGUACGUGCGAACACCGUUUGUCCAUAAAUCCUUCAGCUCAUCAACCAGAGGCCUUAAGUACACAUCAAUUGACCUGCCAGGAUCCUCAGUUAUCAAAACAGUCAUCAUCAUGUAUUCUUUUUUCAUGCAUUUCCAAGGCGGCAAAUUAUAUGGGAAUGCGAAAAUCGGCCAAGUGCUGUGGUGUUGGUUUAGAACCCCAUACGGAUUGAAUCCGUCAGUGGCAAGUCCCAAUCUAACAUUUCGGGGAUCAGCAGCAAAUUCGGGGAACGUUCGAUCGAACUCUUUCCAUGCCUCCCCAUCUGCAGGAUGCCGCAUCACAUCAUCGUCUACCCGUUUUUCCUUAUGCCAUCUCAUGUCUGUGGCAGUAUGCGUUGACAUAUACAAUCGCUGCAACCUAGGUUUAAGGGGCAGAUAACGCAUGACUUUUUGUGGUAUCUUAGUCGUUCUAUUCUGGGAUGUCAGUUUGAACCUCGACUCAUUGCAUAUAGGGCAUGUAUCCAACGUUUCAUGCUCUUUGUAGAAUAACAUGCAAUUGUUUUUGCAAGCGUGGAUUUUUUCAUAACCCAAUCCAAGACCGUGCAACACCUUCUGUGCAUGUUUAUGGUCUUUCGGCAAACAAUUGUCCGUCGGAAGCAUUCUCUUGAAAACCCCCAAAAAGUAAUCAAAACACAAGUUCGACAUACGAUACUUUAUUUUUCCGUGCAUUAGCUCCACAAUGGCAGUGAGAACGGAAAACCUCUCGCACCCCGGGUAUAACUCUUGGUUGGCAUUUUUUAACAGUUUUUCAUACUGUUCAAACUCCGCACUGUCUAUUGGUGUAGGCACGUCAUCUUCCCCUUCCUGAUUGAUGUUGGUCGAUGCGAAUGGAAAAGCAUCCUGUAUAAUACCCAUGACUUGAUCAUUAGGAUCCACAAUAGGUUCAACAUUGUCCACUCUCGGGGCAUUUGAAGACGAAGCAUGGUCUACUUGUUCGCCGUGAAGGUUCCAAAUGCUAUAUGUUUCAAUCAUUCCAUUCCUUACUAAAUGAAAUCCAACAUUUUCAAUUGUCUCCCACAACGUGUUGUUACACCUCCUACAAGGACAACGGAUUCUAGUUGCACCCGGGUUGUGUCUACGUGCAAACUCAAUAAAAUCCUCGAUUCCAUCCAAGUAUUCGUCUGCGCAUCUAUUCGGGUUCUGUAUCCACCUUCUGCUCAUAAUUCCUGAAACCACAAUCACGACACAACAAUCACAACAACUUCAUACGAAGUUAUAAUGUCACCUUAUGCCUCCGGUAAGGGCCCUAUCCCAUUCGGGAAUGCAUAGUCCUGUCACGUAACCUACGGCUACAUGAGAUUAGAUUUCGACGUGGAUUAAUUUCAGCAGCAUCUCGACACAGUUCUUGAAGUGGGCAUAGGUAUAAAUACCUACGUACCACCCGAAGAACGUACCGAGAUGACACCGAAAUCUCCACAAUCGAAACCUAAUCCUGUAGCCGAAGAUUAUGUGACAACACUAUGCAUUACCAAACUGUCCAAAUAAUGGGACAAUUCAAGAAUUAAUUGGACCGCAGUCAUGCAUUACGCAUCCAUGCACGAAAUUCAACUAAUCUCGAACGGGAAACUACGUGUUACUAAACAUAAAAAUAAAAGUACGAAGUUAAUUUCAAUUAACUUCGUACAUCACAACACAUUGUGCUAUGUCACGCACAAUUUCACAACAUUAUACACAUAUAACUUCACAAAAAAAUUACAAACAUAACAAACAAACUUUUACAAUAACAUACCUUCUCAAUCGUUCUCCACCAAUCACAAAUAUCCCUAACGAUAACAAAAUUAAUAGCGUUACUACGAAUUUACAUUAAUACAUUUAAACUAACGACAAAAAAUACAUACCCAAUGAACGUACUGAAUUCACAGUAGAGCAACGGCAGAGAGAGUGAGAGAGAGGUAGAAUGCAGUGGGAGAGUGAGAGAGAGGCAGAAUGCAGAAACUGCAUUCUGCCUCUGCAAUGGAACUGGCUAAAAUGAAGAAGAAGGACUUUGCGCGACUAACAAUCCAAUCCGUCGCGCAAAAUGCCGUCGCGAAAACCCACUUUUCCGUCGCACAAAAAAACAUUUCCGUCGCGCAAUUACCUGCCGACAUCAGGUUUUUUGCGCGACGAAUACAAUUAUCCGUCGCACAAACAUCCGUCGCGCAAAUAACAUUAUUCGUCGCGCAAGGUUUAUAUUACGUCGCGCAAAUAACACUUAUUUCGUCGCGCAAGAAAUUACACUUUACGCGACGAAGGUAAUUCCGUCGCGCAAAAAAGUUUUUUCCACCCUGCAUUUUGCCGCCAAAAUUAAGUAACCCUCGUUUUCUUACGCGACGGUACAUAUUUCCGUCGCGCUAAGGCGUCUUUUGCGACGAAAAUGUUCGUCGCGCAAGAUUCUGGCGCCAAAAACAUAAACUGGGGAUUUUUCCCCGACCUUUGCUCGACGAAAUUAGUUUUGGUCGCGCAUAGAUUGUUUGCGCAACGAAGAUUGUUCGUCGCGCUAGUGUUCUGCUGUUUGCGCUACGGUAUUUUUUUUUCGUCGCAAUAGUGAUUUUUGCGCGACGAAAAUAUAUUCGUCGCGCAAACGUCCGUCGCGCAAAUAGUAAAUCGUAGUAGUGUGAUUUGGUUUAGACUUGGUUUAAUUAUCAUUGUUGUGGUUGGUUCACCAAAAAGAUUUGGCUUAGAAUUACCAGUUUUGUUGUUGGUUUAGUUAUGCUUGGCAUUUGAGGAUCCUAUGCUUACUUGUAUGGGUAAUACAUUUUAUUGAUCGUUUCAUAUACUAAUUAUGAACUUUUAGUUCCAUUGUGCAUUUAAGAGUACACAUAUUUCAUAUGUAAUUCGAAAGUUUGUCGCUGAAAUUUCUGAGAAUUUGAAACUAGAUAAGCACACCUUGCACAAAGUUCAUAUAUUUUCUUCCAGCAAGUCUGUCUAUUAACCCCCCUUAUCUGAAAUUAAUUGUUAAAAGUUCUGAUUCAUCUUUAAUCAUUGUCUUACCCUUGUUGAAUAACACUCCUCAUUCUAAUUUAUAUUCGAAGUUUGAGGUUUCAAUUUCAAUUGUGGGCUUUGAUUUUACAGAUUUUGUUUGUCAAUUUCAAUUUGGACAAAGCAUAUGCAAACAAAGUAAGGCAUUAUCUAUUAUUUGGAUCAUUUCCAUAUGUUUAUAUGUUUUUAAUAUCAUUUGCCUAUGUAGUUGACAUGUUAUAACAUUUUCGUAGUGUUGAAUAUAUAUAUAUAAUAAUUUUAUUUUAGUGGAUGUGAGAUCUCAGUUUGUUGCUUUAUAUAAUUAUUUCUUUGCAAUUUAAUUUUUUUUAUCAGUCAUACUAUUGUUGACGGCUAAAAACCAUCAAGAAACAACUCUUAAGUUUUUUAAAAAAUAAAUAAAUAAAUAAAGAUUUGUUGAUGCUUAAAAAGCAUCAAGAAAAGAUAGUUUCUUGACGGUUUUGUGACGUUUCAUAACCGUCAUGAAACAUUACAUUUUGACGAACGUCUUUCUGAUAGUGGCAUCCGUGACGCUUUCCGAGCCAUCAAUUAAGGGCUAUCGUGAUGCUUUUUAGUUGUCAGCAAAAGGUGUUUUUCUUGUACUGUAUUCACUCAAAAUCGUUUUUCAUUUAGGGUUGCUAGUGUGGUUGAAUGCCAUUUGUUUUGUUAAUGAAUAUUAUACAUUAUGGAUUUUUGUAGAAAUGUCGCUUGAAAUUAUACCUCAGUUUCAAUUUGUCACCUUAAAGAAAAAUUUAAGAGAAAUGUCACCUUAAUUUUUCAAAAUCCACGAUUUGUCAUCUCACUUUAACAUCAUCCAAUUUUCCAUCUAUUUUAAGGGUAUUUUAGUCUUUUCAUUUUCAAGGGAAAAAAAGAGAGGAAGAAAAAGACCUCUCUCUUACUUUCUCCCCCAACCCAACCCCACCCGCCCCCCAAAACACAUCGCAUAGGACCGCCUCCCCCUUCCCCACAUUUCUUUUUUCUUUUUGGCCUACUUUUCCACUAUGUUUAUGUUGAAGGAUCUAAAGUUUUCUUGGUCACCAUCUAUUACGUAGGCUACCGACUUGUUGGUUUGGGUGGGUUGAGGGAAUUUGUGUGUGGAGGGCAGGUGUUCAUGUUGUGUGCACCAAGACCUUAUCGUUGAUGAACUAUGUGACGGCACACACACAAACUCGUUGAGAAUAAAACAAACAUACCACCAAGAGAGUAAAACAAACACACAAGGACACAAAGAUUUAUAGAGGUUCGGCCUCCUGCCUACGUCUUUUUGGUGAUUCACUCGAGAAAUUCACUAGUAUGUAAAAAUAACUUUGGUUACAACUGAACCCCCUUAGCCCUCACAAGAACCUUAGAUCUCUUUUCUCUCACCCUUGCUCAAACCCUUUGAUGCCCUUGUAGACACUCAAGAAUUCACCCUUGAAUUCUAUCUUGUGUUACAUCUUCUCUUCUCCCUUUUGUUAACCUAACCCUAAAAGUCCUAUUUAUAAUGCAUAGGACUUAAGUUACAAGUUAACUUGGAAUAGGAAACAUAAAAUACCCCAAAAAUUGGAGAAAAUCUGUCCAAAUCUAGCCUGCAAAAUCAUCCUUCUGCCGCUCGAGCUGCCGGUGGCGCUCAUGGGAUGGGGGAAUUGGAGAUUUUCUUUUCAAUUUUAAUUGUUUAAAAGAUAUACAAUUUUUUAUUAUAAUAAUUUUUCCAUUUUUAAAAUACACUUGAAAAUAGAAAGCUUAAAAUGCCCUUAAAAAUAGAUGGAAAAUUGGAUGGUGUUAAAGUCAGAUGACAAAUCAUGGAUUUUGAAAAAUUAAGGUGACAUUUCUCUGAAAUUUUUCUUUUAAAAGUGACAAAUUGAAACUGAGGUAUAAGUUCAGGCGACAUUUCUACAAAAAUCCCUAUACAUUACAAUAUUAUAACAAUAAAAUUGGCUAAAAUUGAUAUGUUCCCUCUUUUCUUUUCUUUUUCUCUUUUCCUUUUCAUUUUAUGCUUUGUUGCUAUUGCUAUGUUUAUCCUACAAAUAUAGCAACUUCUCCACCAUUCAUUUGUUAGUGACUACGAUGCUUAGUAACUUCUUCAGCUCCCCUUAUUUCCAUGUACUAACCAGGGACACCAGGUCAGCAUCUUCGGUAAGAAUCCUAACUCAAUCAAACAAUGACAUCUGUAAAUAUUCAAAAUUGGAAUUUGCAUUGUGAUAGUUGAAAGCAUCCUUGUCCCAAAAAAAGCCAAAAAAUAAAAUAAAAUUGAGAGCAUUAAGUCCUUUUCAAAUUAUGCUAAUAUGCAAAAUUGGAAUUUUGAUGGAGUUGCUUCCUUGACUUUUCCACCUUUGUAUCCAGUCCACUUUGCACAAGGAGCCAAGUUUGAGAGAUAGUUUUCUGUAUUUACACCAUCCAGGAGAAAAUUAAAAAACUAUUUCAUGCCAAACUAACUACGGAUUCUUGCAAAGGACCCAUUAGUGUAGUGGUUUGGAGUAUUUACUCCCUCAGGCAAGGUCUUGGGUUCGAGUCCUAGCAUUCAUGUUGUGUGUGUGAGUUUAAUAUGCUAUCACCCCUUCCAAUAGGAAAGGACCUCAAAAAAAAAAAAAAAACUACAGAUUCUUUAAUUGAAAGAAACCCCAUAUUAAUCAUCCUUUGGCACAUAAAUGUUUGGUAAUUGGCAUUAAAGUAUCUAAAGGUUACGAAAUUAAAGAUUUUAAUGCAAACCUAAAAUUGGAAAAGAGGGCACCAAUUCAUGUAAAAUAUGGUGUACUUAGUAGAUCCAACAUAUUUUUUUAGCAACCAAGGACAAUCAUCAUUUUUUUUUUUAAGAACCAAGGAUAGCUUACAUUCUAGUUUGUCCAUCAUGUCAACACAUUUAUAAUUAAAACUUCUUUUUUGGUGAGGUUUCAAUUUUUGUCACUGUAACAAGACCACAAUUGCCAUUCAGUAUGCUAACAUUGUCACUAUGUUUGCCAAUUGCAUAUUAUCUAGAACAUAAAGGCUUUGGUGUUUUGUAUAUCCUCGGGGUGCCAAACCUGUCUUUAUAAAAAUGGUCCUUAUGAUACUACUUUAACAACAAAAAAAUAUAAUAAACUAGGCCUUUGUAGUCACUGAACGAAUGUUUUCUCAUAGAUAUGACUAUUUAAAUGUAAUUACGGGAUUAAAACAUUAUAAUAAAUUGGAGUGAACCAUAACAUUAUAUAUGAUCCAAUCCUUUUCAUAUAUUUUUGUUCAAGACUUUGUUUUAGAAUGCUCUUUUACUAAUUUGGUACAGGUCCCUAAAAUCUACGCCUUUAUGAGGCAACGUCUUUAUUUCUUUGGUUAUUCCAGUUUAGAAUAUAUUUGUACAAAUGAGAUGACUCCCAACAUAAAGUCACAUUCAACCAAAAAGCAUGAAGUCACACACAAAAAGAACACGGACAAUUGCUAAGUUUAUCUUGUAUCCUUAUUUUAUUGAUCCAACCCAAUUGAAAAAUAAAAAAGAUGAUAUAAUAUAUUGUUCACUGCUUACAUCCAUGAGUAAAGUCCUCCAUUUGAAAUUGCGUGAUUAUACAAAAUUGGAAUGAAAAAAGAAAAUCCUACAACUAAAUUUGAUAUAUUCCUUUUCAUUUUAUGUUGGAUGUUAAGUUUUCUUGUUUCUUGUUGAAAAGAAAAAUGAAAAGAAAUAAAUAAAUUACACAGCUAGCAACUUCUCCACCUUCCCUUCUUCCCAUGUACUGACAACAAGGGAGGCCUUCAAUCCAAAAUAAAGACAAGGGAUGCCAGGUCAGCAUCUCAGAUAAGUAUCCCAACCAAAACCAAUCAAAUAAUGACAUAUGUAUCUCUUUUUGUGUUUUGUUCUAUUUCUCUUUGAAUUAACUGCGAAGUUUCAUAAGCGUGUCCUCCUUUUGAAAUUGUGUAUUAUUCAAAAUUGGAAUUUGCUGGUCAUACUUGAUAUAAGCUAAAACAGUUUCCAACAUCUUGUACCAUUUUUUUCCAGUGUGGGUCAUAACUUGAAGAAGCCCACCGACAAUUUCUCAAAAGCUAUUACCAUCCAACUUUGAAAAAUAAAAGUUUCAAAAGUUACCCCAAACAACAGCCCUUGAAAGAGAGUUUUCCAAGGCUAAAGAUUACAAGGAUGUUAUUGGCACAUGCAUUAACGUGUGACAAGAAGUUAGUUAUAUUUAUAAAGUAAAAGAACGAAGUACAUAACAUGUAAGUUGAUGCCAAAUAUUUGAUCAACAGAGCUAAACAUAAAACCACGACAAUAUAACGUUGUUCACCAAAAAUUGUGUUUCGUUGAGGGUCAGUAGUGUAGGUUUCAAGAUACGAUUUAUUUUGUUAAAGAAUAUUCUGAUAUUCUAACAAUAAAAUUGGCUCAAUUUGAUAUGUUUCUUUUUUUUUUUGUUUUUGUUUUCCCUUUCAUUUUAUGCUUUGUUGUGCUAUUGCUAAGUUUAUCCUAGAGACCAGGGAUGCUUAGCAAGUUUCUUCACCUGCCCUUCUUCCCAUGUACUAACUAGGGAUACCAUGUCAGAAUCUUAGAUAAGAAUCCCAACCCAAUCAAACUAUGACAUCUGUAAGUAUUCAAAAUUGGAAUUUGCAUUGUGAUAGUUGAGUGGAAGAAUCGAUUAAGGCUUGAGUGGAAGACAAACUUCAGUGGAGGAAAGUAAUUAAUCUCACAAGACAUAGCCCAUCAGUUGGCUCAUUUUUCUUGAGUGUGUAGUCCUGGCCUUGAGGCGAGGCCACAUUGCUUUGGAGAUUUCUUUCUACUUGGUGAAAUUAUAAUUUAGAAGAAGCAAACUGCGUUUUGCAAUUUGUGCGAUUCAAGCAUAUCUGACACUAGUAAUUAGACCAUAAUCUUUGUCCGACCAGAAAAUAAGAAAAGUUGUCUUGUACCAUUUCUGCCAGUGUGGGUCCCACCCACCCCAUACGAGUAAUUUGAAGAAGUCCACCGACAAUUUCCCAAAAGCUUUGGCGUCCAACUUUGCCGACCCCAUCCCCAUGUGAGGCCAUAGAAAAGUUUUCAGCCACAAUCAAAGAAGGGAACAGUCCUUGAAAAGAGAGGGUUUUCCAAGGCCAAGAUUACAAGUUCAUGUUAUUUACAGUCUCAAAAAGCUUCCAUACUUGUUUACAAACCUGUAUUUUCAAGUUGUGCUAGCCUAGCUAUUUGCAAAUCUUGGAAUAUUUUACUUCAUCCAAAUCCCUUGCAGUCUGCAGAGAAGAUAAAAGACAUGGCUUUGAUUGGAGAGGCUCUUAUCUCUGCUUCCGUCCAGGUGUUGUGCGACAGAAUUACUUCACCCGAGUUCGUUGACUUAUUUUGGCACAAGAAACUCGAUGAGCCACUCCUCAGGAAGCUGAGGACGACACUGUUGGCCUUGAACUUGGUGCUCAAUGAUGCAGAGGGGAAGCAACUUGUGAACCGAGAUGUGAAAAAGUGGCUUGACGAGCUCAGACAUGCUGUCUUUGAUGCGGAGGACUUACUGGAUGAGAUUGACACUGAAGCUUUGCGAUGCAAGCUGGAAGAAGGUGAAGAUCAAACUCACAAAUUUACCAAUAAGGUGCGGAACUUGCUCUUUUCUCCUCGUAGUCAUUUUUAUCAGAGCAUGAAUGAUAAGAUAAAAGAGUUACUAGCAAGGUUAGAAAACUUUGUACAACUGAAAAGUGCUCUUGGUCUGGGAGAAGUUGCUGGGAGGAAGGUUUCGCAAAGAACUCAAACAACCUCCUUGGUUCUUGAACCUUAUGUAUAUGGUAGAGAUGAAGUCAAAGAAAAGUUAUCAAAAGUGUUGCUAUCUGAUGAAGCAGGCAAGGAUCCUGUGUCUUUCCUCACCAUUGUUGGAAUGGGUGGGGUUGGCAAGACAACCCUUGCUCGAAUGCUUUACAAUGACGAUAAGGUGAAAGGGCAUUUUAAACUUAAAGCUUGGGCUUGUGUUUCAGACUACGAUGAUUAUAUUAAAAUUACUAAAACUCUCCUUGAGGCAGUCACUUCAAAGCCUUGUAACACGGCAAAUCUGAAUUUGCUUCAAAAAGAUCUAAGAGAGCAAUUGAGGGGAAGGAAAUUUUUAUUUGUGUUGACCUAUGGAAUGAGAAUAAUGAGGAUUUGAACUACCUUAGAGCUCUUUUUAUUACUUUAGGAACAAUGGGAAGUAAAGUCAUUGUAACAACACGGAACAAAAAUGCAGCAUCUGUCAUGCAAAAUGUUCAUAUUCAAUACUUAGAACCAUUGUCGUAGGAGGACUGCUGGUUAUUACUUGCAAAACAUGCAUUUGGAAAUGAAAAGUGUAGUGCACAUUCAAACUUGGAAGACAUUGGAAAGCAAAUUGCACUCAAGUGCAAAGGGUUGCCUUUAGCUGCACAAACACUUGGGAGUUUGUUACGUUGCAAUAUGGAUUUCGAGUACUGGAAUAGAAUACUAAAUGAUAGUUUUUGGGACCAACCCUAUGAUAAAACUAACAUUCUUCCGGCUCUAGGGUUGAGUUACCAUUAUCUUCCUACUCAGUUGAAACGAUGCUUUGCUUAUUGUUCAAUUUUUCCAAAGGAUUAUGAGUUUGAAAAGGAAGAUAUAGUUCAAUUAUGGAUUGCAGAAGGUAUAAUUCCACAAGCUGAGAAUGGAAAAAGGAUGGAAGCAUUGGCUAGAAUAUACUUUGAUGAGCUGUUAUCACGAUCGUUGUUUCAAAAGUCAAGUAAAUUCAGCUUCAUUAUGCAUGAUCUCAUUAAUGACUUGGCUAUGUUCAUGUCUCAGGGGUUUUGCCUUAGGCUCGAAGAUGGGGUAUCCCGUGAAGUUAAAAGAGCUCGUCAUUUGUCAUAUGCUAGGGGAGAAUUUGAUGCUGCUCCAAGAUUUGAACCAUUAUAUGAGGCUAAAUGUUUGCGGACCUUCCUACCUACCAUUUGUUGUGGGCAAAUCUACUGGAUCAGGCAUAAGAGAACUGAGGCAGUUCCCGCAACUUCGAGGAAAACUAUCAAUUUUGAAGCUACAAAAUGUAGUUGAUGCGAGGGAUGCACUGCACGCCAAUAUGAAGCACAAGAAAGAUCUCAAGGAGUUAGAGCUUUCAUGGGGUGCGGAGGAUGCUGAUGAUUCCCAAAAGGAGAAAGAUGUACUCGACAAGCUCCAGCCUUGCGUGAAUUUGGAGAAAUUAACCAUCAAAUUCUAUGGUGGAACUAAUUUUCCGAAUUGGUUAGGAGACUCGUCUUUUUCUAACAUACAAGUCAUGCAUCUCAGUGACUGUAGUUAUUGUUGGUCGCUCCCACCAGUUGGACCGCUACCGGCACUCAAACAGCUCUGUAUAAGAAGAAUGAAGUUUGUGAAGACGAUUGGCGUUGAAUUCUAUGGCAGAAAUGGAGCUUAUCUGACUCAGCCAUUUCGAUCUCUGGAGAAGCUAGAGUUUAGGGAGAUGCCAGAGUGGGAGGAAUGGGUACCAAGUGGAAGUGCAAGUGGAGGUGAAUAUGGUCCAGACUUUCCUCGUCUCCAGGAGCUGAUUCUAUACGAGUGUCCGAAGCUAAGAGGAAGUUUGCCUUGUGAGUUGCCUUGCUUGAAGAAGCUUACGGUGUAUGGGUGUAAGGUUUUACAUGAUGGAAGGGCCAUUACCGCAACUACCAAUAGUCUUAACUAUAAAUCUCUGGAAGAAUUGAAUAUAAGUGGUGGAUGCCAAACUCUGUUAUCAUUAUUAGAGACAAAGCUCCUGUCCGGACUUGAGAUUCGAAAUGUUGUUGACAUACAGUGCUUGCCCAACUGCAGUCGUCUUCAACAUUUGACUCUUUCGAAUUGUCCAACGCUGUCAUCAUUUCCCAAAGAUGGCCUACCCACUACAUUGACAUCACUUUAUAUAAACAAUUGUAGGAAAUUAGAAUUCCUACCUCAUGAGAUGUUGGCCAAAUUAACAUCGCUUGACUAUUUGUGCAUACAAAAUAGCUGUGAUUCAAUGAGGUCCUUCCCGUUGGGCAUUUUUCCCAAAUUGACGAGGCUUGAAAUUCGUGGUUGUGAGAAUCUGGAAUCCCUUUCCUUGAUUGAAGAAGAAGGAGCUGUUGAGAAUCUCAGCCAUCUCAAUUACUUGCAAGUCUAUAACUGUCCAAAAAUGGUGUGUUUUCACGAGGGAGAAUUGCCCACUCCCAACCUGAGUCACUUUGUAGUCGGUGGUUGCGAGAAUUUGAAGUCAUUGCCCAAAAGCCUUCACACCCUCACUGCCCUUCGAUCUUUGUCGAUAUGUAAUCUUCCGAAUCUGGAGUCAUUUGCAGAAGAUGGGGGUUUGCCUCCCAACCUCCGACAAGUAAGUAUUAGGAAUUGUGAGAGACUGAGGGCUUCAUCAGUGGGUUUGCAAGCACUUGACUCCCUUGAGAUCAGUGGAAGUGACCAUGUAUUCUCUAUCACACUCUUCACAUCUAUUCUCUAUCAACUCUGAAAUCUUUGGACGGAAAGGGUCUUGGACACCUCACUUCUCUUCAAGAGCUAGAUAUUAACAGGUGUCCAAGUCUGGAAUUCCUGCCAGGAGAGGAACUUCAACACCUCACUUCUCUUCAAAAUCUAUACAUUUGGAACUGUCCCAGUCUUCAAUGCUUGCCAGAAGAGGGUUUUCCAUCAUCUCUUUCUCAUCUGAGUAUCCGCCGGUGUCCUACCCUGGAGGAAAGGUAUAAGAAUAAAACGGGACGAGAUUGGGCCAAGAUAUCUCACAUUCCUUGCAUCGAGAUAGGCAACGAAGUGAUCAUAUAAUAUGAGCUAUUCCAUAUUUCACGCUCAACCCUCAACUCUCAAAUCAAAGUCAGGUGAGGUAUGUGCCUUCUCUUACUUUAAAAAACUGCUGCUCAAUAACACUCUUCGCACUCUAUAUAUUAUGGCCUGUCAGUCUAAAAUUCCUGCCAGGAGAGGAACUUGAACGCCUCUCUUCACUGCAAAGGCUACAUAUUUGUGGGUGUGACAAUAUCCAAUUCCUGCCAGAAGAGCGUUUGCUGCAAUCUCUUUCUUAUCUGUGCAUCGACCAUUGUUUUGCCAUGUAGAAAAGGUAUCUCACAUUCCUUGCGUCAAGAUAGGUGAAGAAGUGAUCAUAAGAUAUGAGCUCUCUCUCCCUCUCGCUCACAUACAAAGUACUUAAAACACUCAAUCUGAUUUCUAUUAUUAUUUUGCUCAGUAAAUUUUGUUUAAAUUUGCUUUGUUUCUCAUUGCGCUUGUUCUGCUUAUCACAACUUAUAUCCUAUUUAAAUCUCAAAUGCUGAAUAGUUAGCAGUCUUUUCGCAGGACAGCAUAUCUUCUCUUGGAGAGCUAUUCAUUUGCAAGGUUUCUUUAUGUGUCAUUUCCAGAGGAGGGUUUACUAUUUAAUAGAAAGGUUCACCUGGAAUAUCUCAAAUGACACAUUCCCAAAUACAGGCAUUGAAUGCACAACAUUUUGAGGUACUAUUUUUGUAAUAAAAAUGUACUUGAGUCUCAUUUGAGCUAGUUUAAAUUGUAUUCAAUGUCUAUGGAUAACCUGUGAGCUUAAGUUGUAAGAUAAAACUCACAGUAUAUUAUUAGGGUUUAGGGUUCAACAGGUGAGCUUAAGUUGUACUUUCCUAGGUACUGCAUGUAUAUUAUCUUAGUAUCAACACUUGGUCUUAUGUGGACGAGAGAGAACAUUUGAGGAAUUACAAAAUCUUCUUAGUGAAUUAAGCUUGUUUCAGCUCUGUUUGUCAUCCCUCACAUUUUCUUUGUUAAGCCUUGAUUUUUUAUUAGACAUACGAAAAAAUGCUUUUAUAAGACAGGAGAUGAAUGCUUUUAUAUGUUGAUGUCGUAGUCAGUCUUCAACCACACUCUGUUUUUAGAAUUCAUUUAUGUUACUAGUUGAGAGCUGCUGUAUUUUAUAUUUCGUUCCUGUAAUGUUUGGAUGUUUAGCUUGAGCAGUCUAGCUUAUCCAGUAGAUAACUUGUCCCCUGUUUUGUAAUGUUUUUGUUUCCUCUAAUGAAAGCAGGUUUUACUUAUCUUGAACUGCAGAAGCCUACUUUUUGACAUAGGUGGCAUGGCACAAACUCGCAUCCGCAUUUCCAUCCCCAUUGGCAUGCUGUCUCAUCUUUUCUAUUCUGUUACCAGCUUGAAGCUUGUGUGGACAUGUUAUGCUCUUGUAAUUCUGAUCACAAACAUCACUUGACAAAUGGAAAGUCACAAUCAGAUCUUUCAGGUGAUCUGGAGGUUUACUUUCUAACAUUUGUUUUCGUGGGGGGGAGACAACAAUACAGAAUUUAAAAUUUCUGAUAAUCAAUAGUAGUUUGCAUAUAUCAGCUGGGACCUGUAUGACUGUAUUAUGUAAUUAAUUAUUUCUCUUAUUGUUUGGGUACUGUUAAAAGGAGUUAGCCACACAACAUAAAAAAGGAGGUCUCUUAUUUCAUACAAUUUUUCAAAUGUGAUCAUUAAUCCGUUUCUUUUUCAACAAUAGAGGAAUGUAUACUAAUCGUCUGGUCCAUCUGCUGCUUCACUCCCUAGUAGCUUCAUCUCCUGUCCUUUGCUUUAUUUCUGUUGAUGAAUGUUUUGUCUGGGUUAUUUAUUUUCAUUUCAUGUCCAUUGCUUUAUUUCUGUUUGGAUUCUUAAUUAAAUCUGUCCUGGACUUGAACAAGGGUUAGGUUAGCUGUAUAAUUUGCGGUUUUAUAUACACAACUGUCUACAUUGAUUAAAACCAGCAUUAUUCUAAGGUUCAUUUAGAAUGUAUUAUCACCAAAAUUAUAAAGAAUACUUCUAUUACAAUUAAUUUGUUGAUUCUAAUUUGGACUUGUAGGAACAGACCAAACAUGUUCAUGCGUGGCAUUGCUCAAGUCAUCAUCAUUCGAGACAGAGAAUAAGCCUUCAAGUGUCUGCUGAGUCAAUGAACCUUUCUAGAUAUCUCAAGUGUAAUGGAAAUUGAUGAGUUACAAAGGAUUUGUAAACAUUUUCUACUGGAGGCUAGAAAUGCUUCAAAUAAAUGACCGUGUUGCAAUUAUUUUGUAGGAUCAAAGACUCUGCAAAGAGGU
rnacentral:lncRNA from 1 species